UAAUAUGAGAAUCCCCAAUUAAGCCCUGACUAUUCAUCUUCAUUCUUCAGCCCCAAUUUCAACCCUAGAGUGGAAGAAGAUAGAACCAUCUUCUCCCCAGAACCCUAGUUCUCCAUCUUCAGCUGCCACCCCUUCCUCUCCCCUCACCUUCUAUCAUCUUUCUCUUUCUCUCUCUCCCAAGGCCAUGGUUUAAUGAUUGUGGUGCCUUUAACAAAGCCACCACUGAACCCAUAAACCCACCCCCC
rnacentral:lncRNA from 1 species